UGGGGAAUAUUGGACAAUGGGCGAAAGCCUGACCCAGCAAUGCCGCGUGAGUGAUGAAGGCCUUAGGGUUGUAAAGCUCUUUUACCAGGGAUGAUAAUGACAGUACCUGGAGGAUAAGCUCCGGCUAACUCCGUGCCAGCAGCCGCGGUAAUACGGAGGGAGCUUGCGUUGUUCGGAAUUACUGGGCGUAAAGCGCGCGUAGGCGGUUUUUUAAGUCAGAGGUGAAAGCCCAGUGCUCAACACUGGAACUGCCUUUGAAACUGGAAAACUUGAAUCUUGGAGAGGUCAGUGGAAUUCCGAGUGUAGAGGUGAAAUUCGUAGAUAUUCGGAAGAACACCAGUGGCGAAGGCGACUGACUGGACAAGUAUUGACGCUGAGGUGCGAAAGCGUGGGGAGCAAACA
rnacentral:rRNA from 1 species